ACUCCUACGGGAGGCAGCAGUGGGGAAUAUUGCACAAUGGGGGAAACCCUGAUGCAGCCAUGCCGCGUGUGUGAAGAAGGCCUUCGGGUUGUAAAGCACUUUCAGUAGGGAGGAAGGUAGUGUAGUUAACACCUGCACUAUUUGACGUUACCUACAGAAGAAGCACCGGCUAACUCCGUGCCAGCAGCCGCGGUAAUACGGAGGGUGCGAGCGUUAAUCGGAAUUACUGGGCGUAAAGCGCAUGCAGGCGGCCUGUUAAGUCAGAUGUGAAAGCCCGGGGCUUAACCUCGGAAUUGCAUUUGAAACUGGCAGGCUAGAGUCUUGUAGAGGGGGGUAGAAUUUCAGGUGUAGCGGUGAAAUGCGUAGAGAUCUGAAGGAAUACCAGUGGCGAAGGCGGCCCCCUGGACAAAGACUGACGCUCAGAUGCGAAAGCGUGGGGGAGCAAACAGGAUUAGAUA
rnacentral:rRNA from 1 species